rnacentral:rRNA from 1 species
UACGUAGGGUGCGAGCGUUAAUCGGAAUUACUGGGCGUAAAGCGUGCGCAGGCGGUGAGCUGUGUCCGAUGUGAAAGCCCCGGGCUUAACCUGGGAAUGGCAUUGGAAACUGGCUCGCUGGAGUGUGGCAGAGGGGGGUGGAAUUCCGCGUGUAGCAGUGAAAUGCGUAGAUAUCGGGAGGAACACCUGUGGCGAAAGCGGCUCACUGGACCACAACUGACGCUGAGGCGCGAAAGCUAGGGGAGCAAACAGG